GCCGGGCGCGGUGGCGCGCGCCUGUAGUCCCAGCUACUCGGGAGGCUGAGGCAGGAGGAUCGCUUGAGCCCAGGAGUUCUGGGCUGUAGUGCGCUAUGCCGAUCGGGUGUCCGCACUAAGUUCGGCAUCAAUAUCGUGACCUCCCGGGAGCGGGGGACCACCAGGUUGCCUAAGGAGGGGUGAACCGGCCCAGGUCGGAAACGGAGCAGGUUAAAUGUCUCAUAAAAUUUUCACGACUAAUCUAAACAUAAUUGUUAAGAAAAAGUGAAUU
rnacentral:SRP_RNA from 1 species